UAGUUUUCAUGCACAUUUUUUCACUUGAGAAAAAUACUGUACCAAACAUCUUAGUUUGUAAAAUUACAUGACUAAGACCUCCUUGCGAAAGGGAGUAUGCAAGGCACAGACUUUCACUUCGCCUAGCUGAGCAUGCAGGCGCCUUUACAUUACACAAAUGACAUCUGUGGCAUUGACUCCAUCUCUAAGCAACUAGAGGUGAUAUUUCAUCGCAAACUCAUCAUUUCAGAGACCAGAGGCAGGUGUCCAUUCCUUCCCAAUUCAAUGUGACGCUGACACUAACAUUCAAAGCACCACCAUUAGUCAGGUAUGUAGCAUUGCGGGAAAAUAUUCAUUGUUUGGUGGAAUACAUAUACCCAAGUCAAAUAACACAAAAAGAGUGGGUCUGCAUUCAUAGAAAAGACAUGUAAAAUGGCAAACACAUAUCACUUGUGCAUUAACAGUACAUAAAUGUCAACUCUGAGUGUGGCAUUCUCCCCCACUGUUUGCUCCCAAACAAAUCAAUAUGGCCUCAUUACUAAUAACUACAUAAUGCAAAUGAGCCCAGGGCACCACUGUUGUGGAAGGGGUCCUGUCAUUCCCAACAGAUAAAUGCAAAUCAAAUGCUAUUGCCCCGCACACUCUAACAGUGAGGUAGGCCUGAUGCCUUUUGUGCUCCCAUUGCACCAGCAGGAGGUACAUGGCCUUUGAUGACAUGGUAAAGCACUCCUGACUGAAAGGGACUUGUCAAUCAUAUCAGAGAACCACACAAUACCCACUCUGUCUGUAAUUAUGGGUUUCAUUACACUGCUGUAUACCUACUGUCACACACAAACACACAUCUAACAGAAAUAUGAAAUCCCUCCUACUUUUCUGUAAUCUUCUUAAGGAAAUUUGCACAUCAUAAUGUGCUAAAUCCUCUGGCUUGGCUGUUUGAACACAACAGUUUGGAGUUGGCGCAAAGGCAGCGCAGUCGCUAAAUGUCAAAGGAGAUUUUAAUCACAGAUUGUAAUGUAAAACAUUUUCGGUUUUCUCUAAUGAACAGAAUGUUGCUGUGGUAUUAUAGUCUCAUGGAGUGACGGUUUGGAAUAUGGUUUUUCAACCAAGCGGUUGAUGGGAAAUGUCCCAGUUCUCUAAAAAAAAAAAAAAUCACAGAAAAAGCAUUCAGUUUUACUUGUGCUUGUGCUUCUAGUUCCGACAGUGCAGCAAUAUCUAACAAUUCCACAACAAAUACAUAAUGGAACAAGGAAUGGAAUAAGAAUAUAUAAAUAUAUGGAUGAGCAAUGACAGCGCAGCAUAGGCUAAUAUGCAAUAGUAUAGAAUUGUCACGGUUUUCGUUGGUUAAGGAGGACCAAAACGCAGCAGGUACAUGUAAGCUCAUCUUGAGGUUUAUUAACUCCAAAAUGAACACCAAAAUAACAAAAGAGAACGAACGAUCAACACACACUCUGGCAAGGCACAAGGCUAAACUCAGAACAAUCUCCCACAAUUAAACAGACAAACACACCCAACUAAUAUAGGAAUUCCAAUCAAAGGCAACACCACACAGCUGCCUUCAAUUGGAAGUCCACCCCAAUUAACCAAACAUAGACAUACAACUAACUAGAUCAACAUAGAAAUACGUGAAUCCCAAACAGUGCCCAAAAACCCCGGAAUACUAAAUCAAAUACCCUUACUACAAAAACACCACCCUGAACCACAUAAAACAAAUAUCCUCUGCCACGUCCUGACCAAACUACCAUACCAAUUAACCCUUAUACUGGCCAUGACGUG
rnacentral:lncRNA from 1 species